rnacentral:rRNA from 1 species
UAAGACGUAGGGGACGAGCGUUGUCCGGAUUCAUUGGGCGUAAAGCGCGCGUAGGCGGUUCGGUAAGUCGGGUGUGAAAACACGAGGCUCAACCUCGUGCGUGCAUCCGAUACUGCCGGACUAGAGGUAGGUAGGGGAGAUCGGAAUUCCUGGUGUAGCGGUGAAAUGCGCAGAUAUCAGGAGGAACACCGGUGGCGAAGGCGGAUCUCUGGGCCUUACCUGACGCUCAGGCGCGAAAGCUAGGGGAGCGAACAGGA